CACCCACAACUGCCAGGGCACCUUUCAUGGAGGGCAUCCCUCCAUGAUUAGGCUUCUGGUGUUGGCAGAUUUAAAAGAGGGCAGGGAAUACCCUCUCACCCCAACCAGAAGGGUGAACACAUCCCACUCUGUUACUGCCUGGAAAGGGUUAAAGAGGUGCCUCAUUACCUACCCAGGCUGCAAUCAGUUGCCCAAUUGCAAACUGCUGAAGUACAACAGACUUAAAAGGAAGGGCAGGGCUCCAGCAAGAGUUUAGGAAGUCCUUCACAGUGAUGGCUAGAGGAGUAAGGGGCUGAGGACAACAAGGGCCACAGGAGAGCUGUGAUAUCAGCAGUGGCUGUUAACACUCCUAGAGGCUGCUAAAGCUACAUGAGCAAGAGGAGCUGGAAUUAGCACGUUCUUGAAGAGAAGAACACCUUGAAGGUCAGCGUGUGACUGGGACCCACUGAAACACCCUCUGCUGUGUUACCUGCAACUCCUAACAACCGCUACAAACCCUCCAGGCAACUUGGUGAUUCUGAUGAGGGGAAAAAUAAACCCAAACAUUUCAACAUCAGCACUAGAGGAUUUCACAGGCUCAGUCUAACUUCAAGGAAGCUGUAGGGGAACCCAAAAAGGUUUCCAUUGGAUGCCUACCUAUUUUCCACUGCUUUUCUUCUGGUGGUGUGCUGGGGAGAAGGCAGGACUGCUCCAGUAUCUGUUUCCAAAGCCACCUGCUGCUGGGCAAAGCGCUUCUCCUCAUCCAGCCGAUGGGCAGCGCAGUCCUUGGCUCUCGGCUGCCUCCCCUUCCACAGAGGAGGUUAAAAAAAGAAAACUCAAACCUCAAACCAACCAAAAACAAAAAGAAAAGCAACCCUUUAAACUCUAUUUCCGAUUCCGCUUUGAAAAGGAAGUACUUUACUUUCUGUGUAGCUCCAACAAUGACCCUCUUUGCUGCCUGUAUGUUAAACUGCUUUCCUCUGUCUCAUUGAAUCCCUGUGGAUUUUAAGUAGUUUGAUGUAUAUUUUAAGGCGCUCUCUGCCAUUUCCUUGCCAAGGAUAUUUUUAGGUAGCCAUUAUUUUGCUCGGACAUACGAAAAGCCAAGUUAUUUCUAUUGCUGGCUGUGCAAAUCCCAUUCCUGAGGCUGUGCUGAAAUGGCUGAUGCCAGGAUGCAGACAACAGUGGUUUUGGCACGGCCGGGAGGCGAAAUCACUCUUGGCAAGAGCAGCCCAGUUGUUUAUUUCAUCUCUGCUCAGGGUGAGGGGCUGGGUGGGGAAGGGAGGGAUUAAUGUUUGCUACAUGGCGGAGAACAAAACGGGGAAAAUUAAGUUUCAGUAUUGUGGAAACACUAUAAACAGUGGGGGGAGAAAUAAUUGACAUUACUUUUUCAACACUCAGGUUAGCUUAAGCUUACCUUUGUCUUUUUAAGGACUUGUGCCUUCCUAUUCUGUGAACCAGUGCAAAAUUGCUUGCUAGCUGUGAAGCAGCCUGCUUUCCUCACUGUGGAAUAGCAGGAUUAUUUAAAGUUGUUAUUGGAAGUGGGAAAGACAACUCAGCUGGUCAGAUGAAGAGACUUUAAAUCAGGCUUAUAGCAAAUUGUACUCGGAUAUGACAAUUUCACUGGGGAUACUGCAAGGAAGUUAUGAUUAUAGCUCAUAUAACAAGCUGAGAAGUGACAGUAAGAAACUGUGAGCACAUUAAAAACAAAAGCAUUAUGUGAUCUGGGUGGUCAUGAAGAUACUGCAGUGUUUGUUUAUAAAAAUUAUCAUUACCUGUUGGACAUUACUCUGGCUACCAGUGAUAUGAUUAAUUGAGCUUGUUUUAAGCUAGGAUAGAUGGUCUAACCAUGAAUGGUGUCCUAGAUUACACCCUGAAGUGUCAGCAUCAUUGAUGGCAGCUUCCAUCUUCAGGAUGUCUUCAUGGCAGCCUUCUGGAUGUGCUGUUUUCAGAUAAUAACAGGGUGUGAAGUGUUCUGCUGUCAGUAAAAUAUCAACACAGGCAGCUCUCAGCAGGUAACUGGGAAUAAAAGAAUCUUGAAGUCAUCUUAAGAAUCUGCAGAUUAGGUUUUACUGUUGCUUUGACAGUCUAGAAAGAGUAAAUAUGAGAACUGACAGUGCCUGAAAAUUCGGGGUGCAAAAGGACCUCACAGGAUGGAGUCAGGAGUGUCUGUGUAAAUAGUGGCAAGUACAAUUAGUAAGAAGCAAGGACCGUGUAAGAGUUAACUGGUAUAGGCACUGAUCUUUUAAGAUCACAAGUGUUUUUGGCCAGGGGCUCUGGAAAGAAAUUGUAAAGGCUGGUGGCUACAGGCUUAGCAGCUCAGCUGAGCAGUGAGGACAGCAUUCCCCUGUGCAUCCCCUGAUUUAUCUCUUUUAUUCUUAUCAACUUCCAAAGUGAGACUGACUGUGUGUGGGACUCCUGUGGCCAAGCUUCUUGUGUAGGUUGCCUGAGGAAGGAGUUAAGCAGAGAACAGCUUUCUCCUAUAAUUAACUUGCAAGGGAAAGGCUGUUUCUCAGCCGUGCCGGUUGGGACCAGUGAAGGAGACUGGCUUGCUGCUGAAAGCGCAGUACUAUCAAGGAAUAACUGAUCACAAGAGAAUCCAUCUUAAAAGAAGCUCAAAAUAAAUUAACUGGAAGAUGCAGCUCUGCACCUUUCAGCUUCUUAAAGAGCUUUCUCUGCCUCACAGCUCAAGACCCGGCUCCUGUAACAACUGCAACUGCUGCAGCUCUGGAUGAUUUUCCAGAGACAGGAUCAGAAUUGGGGGGUCAGCCAGGGGGGAUCAGCACAGUCCCCACUUGCUGCAGAACAAGGAGAUCAUGGUGGGACCAGGCUGGAGGCACAGUCCCAGAUAGGCCUUGCUGAUUCAUAUGUGGGUAUCAGCUGGAGCUGGUCUCUGCUGCAGGGCACUAUUCAGGGAUGGUGU